rnacentral:sRNA from 1 species
GUUGGGUAUGGAGAUAUCUACCCGACAACUAUCCAAGGCAGGGUCAUUGCUUCAAUAUGUGCAAUCACUGGGGUGUGUCUUUUUGCUCUUCUGAUACCAGUACUUAUUAAUAAU